UUAUAAAAAGAACAACUAGUAGAAAGAUAGACUAGAAACCAUGUAUGGUCAGUAGGAAAACAUGCUAACAUCUAACAAAGACUUUCAAAUUUUAAAAAUACAUUGAAGUAAUCUAAAGGGAAAGAUAAUGAAUAAAACAAUUCAGGAAGGAUAUGAACCAAAAUAACGAAUAUAAUAGCUGGAGUCAAAAGAAAUGUAUUGGUGGGAUCAAUAGUAAGAAAAUGAGUUAUUUUAAAAAUCAAAUAUCCAGCCAUGCUUUAAUGGCAAACACCUUUAAUCCCAGCAUUCAAGAGGCAGAGGCAGGUGGAUCUCUGUGAGUUCGAGGCCAGCCUGGUCUACAGAAUAAGUUCCAGGACAACCUCCAAAGCAAUACAGAGAAACCCUGACAUGAAAAAAACAAAAACAAAUCAAAUAUCCACAGGAGUGGGGAAAUGGCUCAUAUGUUAAUAUGUUUGCCACACAAGGAUGAGGACCUGAAUGUAAUGGGGAAGCCAAGACUUGCUGGCCAUCUGAUCGACCCGGUAUUCUCCAGGUUGAGACCCUGUCUCAAAAGUAAAGUGGACGGCAAUUAAGGAAGACACCCAGCAUCAACCUGUGGUCUCUGCAUGUAGACACACACACACAUACACACACAUAUUGAAAACCAAACAACAGUGAUUUUGUUUUUAUGGCUUUGGAGAUGAAACCACUGAGCUACACCCCCAUCCUUUGAUUUGCUUUUAACAAUGAGGAAUACCUAUUAGCUGGCAUGGCUCUUGGACUUUCUGUGCAGCCCAGGAUGGACUCAAACUCUCAGGAGACAUCUGUCAAGCCUGAAUACCUGACUUGCAAGGAAAGGGUUUAUGUGGCUUACACUUCAACAUUGCUGUUCAUUAUUGAAGGGAGUCAGUUCAGGAACUCAAACAAGGCAGGAUCCUGGAGGCAGGAGCUACUGCAGAGGCCAUGGAAGGGUACUGCUUACUGGCUUGCUUCUCCUGGCUUGUUUAGUCUGCUUAUAGAACUCAGGACCAAUAGCCUAGGGAUGGAACUACUCACCCUGGACAGGGCCCUCCCUCAUUGAUCACUAAUUAAAUAAAUGAGAAAAUGCCUUACAGCUGGAUCUCAUGGAGGCAUUUCCACAGCUGAGGCUCCUUUCUCUCUGAUGACUCUAGCUUGUGUCAAGUUGACACACAAAACCAGCCAGUACAAUCUGUAAAGUCCUUAAGACAAUGUCAGUUUGUAUGUACUAGGAUGUUAUUUACUCUGCCUGGCACCUCAUCUCCCCAGUUAGAGCUGGGAAGUUUAGCUUCUCUUUUCUGCUUCCUUCAUAACUCUCUGUCUGCCUGCCUUCCAGUUGCUUAAGAAACAUUUCCUGGAUGCCUCCUGUGUACAGAACACUAUUUUAGGCUGAUUCUAUUUGAAAUUUAAAAGUCUUGUCCUUCUAUUCUUUCCAUAUAAUGAAAUGACUCAAUACUUCAGCAAGACGCUACUGCAAAGGACAGGCUGAAGAGAAGGGAAGGCAGAAAUACAAGCUAUUCUCAACUGGGGAGCAGGGGAAGAGUAAAACACUCUCUCAAGGACGGUAGUGUACACCAACCAGUUGGACAACCUGAAGUUUGCAGAAAGUAGGCUAAUGGUGAACUAGACUUGCCAGGAAACGACUCCUUUUCGGGACUGUGGACAAGAUACACUCUAAUGUGAGACAGACCUCCAUUCACAGACAAAACUACUGCACUCUCUCUUGGAUCAACAGUACCCCCACUUCCCCUUUAAGGCAUAUGUUUCUGUGUGUACAUGUUCCUGAAAUAAAAAUAAUAAAAGGAGAGUUCCUCCUUUUUGGUCAUGGGGCCAAAUAA